rnacentral:rRNA from 1 species
UACGUAGGGGGCAAGCGUUGUCCGGAAUUAUUGGGCGUAAAGAGCGUGUAGGCGGCCAGAUAAGUCCGCUGUGAAAUCUCGAGGCUCAACUUCGAGCUGUCGGUGGAAACUAUCUGGCUAGAGUCCGGAAGAGGAGAAUGGAAUUCCUGGUGUAGCGGUGAAAUGCGCAGAUAUCAGGAAGAACACCCGUGGCGAAGGCGGUUCUCUGGGGACGGUACUGACGCUGAGACGCGAAAGCGUGGGGAGCGAACAGGG